rnacentral:rRNA from 1 species
UACGUAGGGUGCGAGCGUUGUCCGGAAUUAUUGGGCGUAAAGAGCUCGUAGGCGGUCUGUCGCGUCGAUCGUGAAAACUUGGGGCUUAACCCUGAGCUUGCGGUCGAUACGGGCAUGACUGGAGUUCGGCAGGGGAGACUGGAAUUCCUGGUGUAGCGGUGAAAUGCGCAGAUAUCAGGAGGAACACCGAUGGCGAAGGCAGGUCUCUGGGCCGAUACUGGCGCUGAGGAGCGAAAGCGUGGGGAGCGAACAGG